GACGAACGCUGGCGGCGUGCUUAACACAUGCAAGUCGAACGGAAAGGCCCUGCUUUUUUGGUGUGCUCGAUUGGCGAACGGGUGAGUAACACGUGAGUAACCUGCCCUUGACUUUGGGAUAACUUCAGGAAACUGGGGCUAAUACCGUAUAGGAUCUCCUGCUGCAUGGUGGGGGUUGGAACUUUUCGGCUGUUGGGGAUGGACUCGCGGCUUAUCAGCUUGUUGGUGGGGUAGUGGCUUACCAAGGCUUUGACGGGUAGCCGGCCUGAGAGGGUGACCGGCAACAUUGGGACUGAGAUACGGCCCAGACUGCAACGGGAGGCAGCAGUGGGGAAUAUGGCACAAUGGGAGGAAGCCUGAUGAAGAAACGCCGCGUGCGGGAUGACGGCCUUCGGGUUGUAAAACGCUUUAGCCUGUGACGAAGCGGGAGUGACGGUAAUGGGUAAAGAAGCACCGGCUAACUACGUG
rnacentral:rRNA from 1 species